rnacentral:ncRNA from 1 species
UUGUGUUCAACCAUGGUCGCUUCGCAUCGGGACGAUGGUUCAUUCAAAUUUCUGCCCUAUCACCUUUCGAUGGUGAGGUAGUGACAAUAAAUCCUGAUGCGGGGCUCUGUCGGGUCUCGUAAUUGGAAUGAGUACAAUCUAAAUACCUUAACGAGGAACAGUUGGAGGACAAGUCUGGUGACCUCCAGCCUCUAUCA